rnacentral:misc_RNA from 1 species
GAUGAAGAACGUAGCGAAAUGCGAUAAGUAAUGUGAAUUGCAGAAUUCAGUGAAUCAUCGAAUCUUUGAACGCACAUUGCGCCCCCUGGUAUUCCGGGGGGCAUGCCUGUUCGAGCGUCAUUUCAACCCUCAAGCUCUGCUUGGUAUUGAGUCAAUGUCAGCAAUGGCAGGCUCCAAAAUCAGUGGCGGCGCCGCUGGGUCCUGAACGUAGUAAUAUCUCUCGUUACAGGUGCUCGGCGUGCUUCUGCCAAAACCCCAAUUUUUCUAUGGUUGACCUCGGAUCAGGUAGGGAUACCCGCUGAACUUAAGCAUAUCAAUAAGCGGAGGA